rnacentral:rRNA from 1 species
UAUCUCUGUAGAGUCUGCAUAUCAAUAAGCGGAGGAAAAGAAACUAACAAGGAUUCCCUUAGUAACGGCGAGUGAAGCGGGAAGAGCUCAAAUUUGAAAUCUUCAAGGUUCUACCUUGACGAAUUGUAGUUUAAAGAAGUGUUUUCUGUUAGAUGAGUAGCAAAAGUUCCUUGGAAUGGGACAUCAUAGAGGGUGAGAAUCCCGUAUUUGGUUAUUCAUUCUAGCUUUGUGAUACACUUUCAAAGAGUCGGAUUGUUUGGGAAUGCAGUCCAAAAUGGGUGGUAAAUUUCAUCUAAAGCUAAAUAUUGGCGAGAGACCGAUAGCGAACAAGUACCGUGAGGGAAAGAUGAAAAGAACUUUGAAAAGAGAGUUAAACAGUACGUGAAAUUGUCAAAAGGGAAGCGUUUGACACCAGUGUUGUUUUUCCAAAAAUCAAUUACGAAUGGCUUGAUUUUGCGUUGUAUUGACCUUAUCAGCUUUCUUCACUUUUUUCGAGUCUUUCUUAAUGCACUUUUCGGUUAACAAGUCAACAUCAAUUUCUUUUGUUGUAAAAGGGUCAUUGGAAGGUGGCUUUCUUUUCGGAGAAAGUGUUUAUAGCCUUAUGCCUCUACAAUCGGAGAGAUUGAGGUCUGCAGCGUAGAUCCUUCGGGGUUAGAUACACUUGUGCUAAGUUGUAGCUUUUCAUAGACAACUUGUUGACUAUGUUUAGUCAUGCGGCUUACUCGCUUGUGCUAUUUUACCUACGCUUAGGAUGUUGACUGAUAUGUAGUCGUA